CCUACGGGAGGCAGCAGUAGGGAAUAUUGCUCAAUGGGGGAAACCCUGAAGCAGCAACGCCGCGUGGAGGAUGAAGGUUUUCGGAUCGUAAACUCCUUUUGUUAGAGAAGAUAAUGACGGUAUCUAACGAAUAAGCACCGGCUAACUCCGUGCCAGCAGCCGCGGUAAUACGGAGGGUGCAAGCGUUACUCGGAAUCACUGGGCGUAAAGAGCGCGUAGGCGGGAUAGCAAGUCAGAUGUGAAAUCGUAUGGCUUAACCAUAGAACUGCAUUUGAAACUGUUAUUCUAGAGGAUGGGAGAGGUAGGUGGAAUUCUAGGUGUAGGGGUAAAAUCCGUAGAGAUCAAGAGGAAUACUCAUUGCGAAGGCGACCUGCUAGAACAUAACUGACGCUGAGGCGCGAAAGCGUGGGGAGCAAACAGGAUUAGAUACCCGUGUAGUC
rnacentral:rRNA from 1 species